rnacentral:rRNA from 1 species
UUUUUUUUAGAGAGUUCAAAUCGAAAAGAAAGAUUGCGACCUCGAUGUUGGAUUAAAAUAAAAUUUUGGUGUAGAAGCUAGAGUAUUUAGGUCUGUUCGACCUUUAAAAUUUUACAUGAUCUGAGUUUAAACCGGCGUGAGCCAGGUUGGUUUCUAUCUCUAAUAAAAUAUAAUAUCUUAGUACGAAAGGACCAGGUAGUAAGUUAAAAAUUUGAGUUUAGGAAUAUAAAUAAUUG